rnacentral:tRNA from 1 species
GGCCAGAUAGCUCAGUCGGUACGAGCGUCCGCCUGAAAAGCGGAAGGUCGGCGGUUCGACCCCGCCUCUGGCCA